UACGUAGGGUGCAAGCGUUUGUCCGGAAUUAUUGGGCGUAAAGAGCUCGUAGGCGGUCUGUCGCGUCGGCUGUGAAAACUCGGGGCUCAACCCCGAGCCUGCAGUCGAUACGGGCAGACUAGAGUGCUGUAGGGGAGACUGGAAUUCCUGGUGUAGCGGUGGAAUGCGCAGAUAUCAGGAGGAACACCGGUGGCGAAGGCGGGUCUCUGGGCAGUAACUGACGCUGAGGAGCGAAAGCGUGGGGAGCGAACAGG
rnacentral:rRNA from 1 species